CGGUGAAUACGUUCCCGGGCCUUGUACACACCGCCCGUCAAGCCAUGGAAGUUGGGAGUACCUAAAGUCGGUCACCGCAAGGAACCGCCUAGGGUAAAAUCAAUGACUGGGGCU
rnacentral:rRNA from 1 species